UACGUAGGUGGCAAGCGUUGUCCGGAUUUACUGGGCGUAAAGAGCGCGCAGGCGGUCGUUCAAGUCGCGUGUGAAAGCCCCCGGCUCAACUGGGGAGGGUCACGCGAUACUGAUCGACUCGAAGGCAGGAGAGGGAAGUGGAAUUCCCGGUGUAGUGGUGAAAUGCGUAGAUAUCAGGAGGAACACCAAUAGCGAAGGCAGCUCGCUGGGACGGUACUGACGCUGAGGCGCGAAAGCGUGGGGAGCGAACAGG
rnacentral:rRNA from 1 species